AAGAAGCACCGGCUAACUACGUGCCAGCAGCCGCGGUAAUACGUAGGGUGCGAGCGUUGUCCGGAUUUACUGGGCGUAAAGGGCUCGUAGGUGGUUUGUCGCGUCGUCUGUGAAAUUCUGGGGCUUAACUCCGGGCGUGCAGGCGAUACGGGCAUAACCUGAGUGCUGUAGGGGUAACUGGAAUUCCUGGUGUAGCGGUGGAAUGCGCAGAUAUCAGGAGGAACACCGAUGGCGAAGGCAGGUCUCUGGGCAGUAACUGACGCUGAGGAGCGAAAGCAUGGGUAGCGAACAGGAUUAGAUACCCUGGUAGUCCAUGCCGUAAACGGUGGGCGCUAGGUGUGAGCCUCUUCCACGGGGUUUGUGCCGUAGCUAACGCAUUAAGCGCCCCGCCUGGGGAGUACGGCCGCAAGGCUAAAACUCAAAGGAAUUGACGGGGGCCCGCACAAGCGGCGGAGCAUGUGGAUUAAUUCGAUGCAACGCGAAGAACCUUACCUGGGCUUGACAUACACCAGAUCGGCGCAGAGAUGCGUUUUCCCUUUGUGGUUGGUGUACAGGUGGUGCAUGGUUGUCGUCAGCUCGUGUCGUGAGAUGUUGGGUUAAGUCCCGCAACGAGCGCAACCCUUGUCUUAUGUUGCCAGCACGUGGUGGUGGGGACUCAUGAGAGACUGCCGGGGUUAACUCGGAGGAAGGUGGGGAUGACGUCAAAUCAUCAUGCCCCUUAUGUCCAGGGCUUCACACAUGCUACAAUGGUCGGUACAGUAGGUUGCGAUACCGUGAGGUGGAGCUAAUCCUGUAAAGUCGGCCUUAGUUCGGAUUGGGGUCUGCAACUCGACCCCAUGAAGUCGGAGUCGCUAGUAAUCGCAGAUCAGCAAUGCUGCGGUGAAUACGUUCCCGGGC
rnacentral:rRNA from 1 species